rnacentral:rRNA from 1 species
GACGAACGCUGGCGGCGUGCCUAAUACAUGCAAGUUGAGCGAUGAAGAUUGGUGCUUGCACCAAUUUGAAGAGCAGCGAACGGGUGAGUAACGCGUGGGAAUCUGCCUUUGAGCGGGGGACAACAUUUGGAAACGAAUGCUAAUACCGCAUAACAACUUUAAACAUAAGUUUUAAGUUUGAAAGAUGCAAUUGCAUCACUCAAAGAUGAUCCCGCGUUGUAUUAGCUAGUUGGUGAGGUAAAGGCUCACCAAGGCGAUGAUACAUAGCCGACCUGAGAGGGUGAUCGGCCACAUUGGGACUGAGACACGGCCCAAACUCCUACGGGAGGCAGCAGUAGGGAAUCUUCGGCAAUAGACGAAAGUCUGACCGAGCAACGCCGCGUGAGUGAAGAAGGUUUUCGGAUCGUAAAACUCUGUUGGUAGAGAAGAACGUUGGUGAGAGUGGAAAGCUCAUCAAGUGACGGUAACUACCCAGAAAGGGACGGCUAACUACGUG